rnacentral:rRNA from 1 species
GUGGGGAAUCUUGCGCAAUGGGCGAAAGCCUGACGCAGCCAUGCCGCGUGGAUGAUGAAGGUCUUAGGAUUGUAAAAUCCUUUCACCGGUGAAGAAAAUGACUGUAGCCGGAGAAGAAGCCCCGGCUAACUUCGUGCCAGCAGCCGCGGUAAUACGAAGGGGGCUAGCGUUGCUCGGAUUUACUGGGCGUAAAGGGCGCGUAGGCGGACAUUUAAGUCAGGGGUGAAAUCCCGGGGCUCAACCUCGGAACUGCCUUUGAUACUGGGUGUCUUGAGUAUGAGAGAGGUGUGUGGAACUCCGAGUGUAGAGGUGAAAUUCGUAGAUAUUCGGAAGAACACCAGUGGCGAAGGCGACACACUGGCUCAUUACUGACGCUGAGGCGCGAAAGCGUGGGGAGCAAACAGGAUUAGAAACCCUUGUAGUCC